UUUUGGCGAAUUGUUCACUCGGUUAUUUCCUCCCUCUGAUUGAUGUUGCGCUAUAUUCCUCGAGGUUCACGUGGGUAAAGGUCAGUUAUUAAGAAACUCAUAAAUAAUCAUAUAGAACCAAAUUAAUUCCGGCCCGAUGUAGACUUGUAUCAACAUUGUGAAUCAAGCCCUUAAAUGAUACAAACCUUUGCAUUUUAUUUUUAUUGUUGUCAUUCUUCUGACAGGUAUUGGGAUUAGUUGAUCGAAGUGUUACCUGGAAUGCCGAACCUACGACGCUCCCCGUGGAGAUCGAUGCUCAAAAAGCAUCGAUCUCCACAGGGGCCGGGGUCAAAAAUUCCGUUGUUAAGAGCGUGCGGCUUGUUAUGACACGAUCUUACGUUCUGUAAUCAACAUCACCCAAUCAGAAUCCGCUUUUUUUGCAUACGUCAUUCACCCCUUGCUGGCUGCCUGGGAUGUCGCCGACUUGUACUGGUUUUCGUUGGAUUGUACCGGUUGCAUUUUCUUAGCGAAUCUCCGUGAUUUUAGUGAAUUUUAUCGAAUUUUAGUGAUCAAGUCAAAAUGACCUCCAAGAAAUUUGUUGUUGUGGAGUGGCUCAACAACGCAAAGGAUCGUCGCGAGUUUACAGUUCUCAGGGGAAAUGAAGUUUUGCGCCAGGGUGGUUUGGUAUCUGUGGUAUUCAUUGCAUUGCAGCAGAUAACACAUCAAUACUUUACGAGGCAGAAGUGUUGCAAAACUUCGACUCACAGCGCAAGGCAAACAGUUUGAAAACGAGCUUCUUGAGGGAGGCAACGACAGCGUUGACCGAGGUUUACAAAGAUGUUCCUGCAGAGGAUCAGCCCAGUCCAGUGUCACAACAAAAGCAGAAAAUUAAAUAUCUGUCAAAGCCCCUGGAAGGGGUGAAGAGGCUCCUGUCAGACCUUAUUACCGAAGAAGAGCUCAUGCGGUGCACACUGAAGGGGAAGGGAAGGUACAGAGGGAUGCCCUGGACCAGCAACAAGAUGCAGAUGUUUUAUGUUGCAAUGAGGGGAAAUUACGGAAUGACUAAUGAGAAAAUGGACCAGCUGAUUAGAAAUCAGCAAAAAUCCUUAAAGACAAAACCCAAAAAGUCUUCAGUAAAGCUAAGUGAAAUGUCCAUUGUUGGUAUAAAAUGUUUGCUUUAGUAGGUUUUUUAAUCAUAGAGAUAUUUUAGCUUGCCUUGCACUUUUUGUUGUAUACCAACUUGUCGAAUUUGGUUUUGUCUUGUAACGAUUUUUGCUGAUUUCUAUAACGUUAUAGAAGUCACUGUUCACGUUGUAUCCGAAAAUUAUAAAGUUGAUUAUCAAAUUUUGAGAUAAUUGUAAAUUUGUUCUGUAUUCUAAAAAUAAAAUUAUUUGCUGGAAAAUAUUGCUAGCUAUUUGUAAUAAAUUACCGGAUAUCCAA